rnacentral:rRNA from 1 species
GCUAUCGGGGUGGGGAUAGAAUGCUAGUCGAGUGACUCAGGCAAAACGAGUCACGGCACACAGCUCAGUAACACGUGGCUAAUCUGCCCUUGGGACUAGAACAACCCCGGGAAACUGGGGCUAACUCUAGAUAGGUGAAGAACUCUGGAAUGAGUCUUUGCCUAAAUAGGUUCACGUUAUCCUCGUGAACUUGCCCAAGGAUGAGGCCGCGACCGAUCAGGUUGUUGGCGAGGUAAUGGCUCACCAAGCCUUUUACCGGUGCGGGCCGUGGGAGCGGGAGCCCGGAGAUGGGUACUGAGACAAGGACCCAGGCCCUACGGGGCGCAGCAGUCGCGAAACCUUUGCAAUACACGAAAGUGUGACAGGGCUAUCCCGAGUGCCAUCCGCUGAGGAAGGCUUUUACCCAGUCUAGAACGCUGGGGGAAUAAGGAGAGGGCAAGUCUGGUGUCAGCCGCCGCGGUAAUACCAGCUCUCCGAGUGGUGUGGAUGUUUAUUGGGCCUAAAGCAUCCGUAGCUGGCUAGGUAAGUCCCUUGUUAAAUCCACCGAAUUAAUCGUUGGAUCGCGGGGGAUACUGCUUGGCUAGGGGACGAGAGAGGCAGACGGUAUUUUCGGGGUAGGGGUGAAAUCCUAUAAUCCCGGGAAGACCACCAGUGGCGAAGGCUGUCUGCUAGAACGCGCCCGACGGUGAGGGAUGAAAGCUGGGGGAGCGAACCGGAUUAGAUACCCGGGUAGUCCCAGCUGUAAACGAUGCAGACUAGGUGUUUGGACGGCCACGUGCCGUUCUAGUGCCGCAGGGAAGCUGUUAAGUCUGCCGCCUGGGGGAGUACGAUCGCAAGAUUGAAACUUAAAGGAAUUGGCGGGGGAGCACCACAAGGGGUGAAGCUUGCGGUUUAAUUGGAGUCAACGCCGGG